UCCGUAGGCGGUGUGGCAAGUCGGUAGUGAAAUCUCUCGGCUUAACUGAGAGGCUGCUGCCGAAACUGCCAUGCUCGAGUGCGAGAGAGGCGAGUGGAAUUGCGGGUGUAGCGGUGAAAUGCGUAGAUAUCCGCAGGAACAUCCGAGGCGAAAGCGGCUCGCUGGAUCGCAACUGACGCUGAGGGACGAAAGCUAGGGGAGCAAGCAGGAUUAGAUACCCUGGUAGUCCUAGCCCUAAACCAUCAGGACUUGGGGUUUGCCCUGUACGGGGCAAGUCCCGGAGCUAACGCGUUAAGUCCUGCGCCUGGGGAGUACGGUCGCAAGGCUGAA
rnacentral:rRNA from 1 species